GACGAACGCUGGCGGCGUGCCUAAUACAUGCAAGUCGAACGGUUUAGUUCCAAGAGGCUUGCCUUUUGGAACUAGACAGUGGCGGACGGGUGAGUAACACGUAGGCAACCUACCUGUCAAACCGGGAUAACCUCGGGAAACCGAAGCUAAACCCGGAUAAGCUCCUUUUUCGCAUGAAGGGGGAGUGAAAAGGUGCGACCUGAUGACAGAUGGGCCUGCGGCGCAUUAGCUAGUAGGUAGGGUAACGGCCUACCUAGGCGAUGAUGCGUAGCCGACCUGGGAGGGCGUACGGCCACACUGGGACUGAGAUACGGCCCAGAAUCCUACGGGAGGCAGCAGUAGGGAAUCUUCGGCAAUGGGCGAAAGCCUGACCGAGCAACGCCGCGUGAGUGAGGAAGGCCUUCGGGUUGUAAAACUCUGUUGUUUGGGAAGAAGGGAAAGGGUAGGACCCUUUGGUGACGGUACCAAACGAGAAAGCCCCGGCUAACUACGUG
rnacentral:rRNA from 1 species